UACAGAGGUCCCAAGCGUUGUUCGGAUUUACUGGGCGUAAAGGGUGCGUAGGAGGUCUGGAAAGUCGGGUGUGAAAUCCCACCGCUCAACGGUGGAGUGGCGCUCGAUACUUCCAGACUCGAGGAUCGGAGAGGAGAACGGAAUUCCUGGUGUAGCGGUGAAAUGCGUAGAUAUCAGGAGGAACACCAACGGCGAAGGCAGUUCUCUGGAAGGUUCCUGACUCUGAGGCACGAAGGCCAGGGGAGCAAACGGG
rnacentral:rRNA from 1 species